CAGACAGUUGGUCAGGACUAUACACAGCACAAUUACCAUAAGCAGUUUGUUCCAUGUAAAUGACACCAUACUUGCAAACUCACAGCUAAAACUUUAACGUUAAAUGAACUUGCAAAGAUGCUUACACUACCUCUUGAAGCAGGGGGGAAUGCUUAUACUUUAUACUAACAUAACAACUACUACACAGACUAGUCUUUAUCUUAAACUAUUAUUUAACUACUUUUAACACACAUGCUCUGGUAUAUAUGUAGUCUAAGCGUGAAAGCAAUUUGUUGAAAGGACAAACACACAACUACAAUUUGCUUUAUAUAGAGUUAGAUGGAGUUUCUACACUUUUCUUAGAUCUUCUACAGAAUUUCUCUCACAAACAGACUAUGAUUUAACACGAUUCAGUCUUGAAACAUCUGCUGCUCUGGU